rnacentral:rRNA from 1 species
GACGAACGCUGGCGGCGUGCCUAAUACAUGCAAGUUGAGCGCUGAAGGUUGGUACUUGUACCAACUGGAUGAGCAGCGAACGGGUGAGUAACGCGUGGGGAAUCUGCCUUUGAGCGGGGGACAACAUUUGGAAACGAAUGCUAAUACCGCAUAAAAACUUUAAACACAAGUUUUAUGUUUGAAAGAUGCAAUUGCAUCGCUCAAAGAUGAUCCCGCGUUGUAUUAGCUAGUUGGUGAGGUAAAGGCUCACCAAGGCGAUGAUACAUAGCCGACCUGAGAGGGUGAUCGGCCACAUUGGGACUGAGACACGGCCCAAACUCCUACGGGAGGCAGCAGUAGGGAAUCUUCGGCAAUGGACGAAAGUCUGACCGAGCAACGCCGCGUGAGUGAAGAAGGUUUUCGGAUCGUAAAACUCUGUUGGUAGAGAAGAACGUUGGUGAGAGUGGAAAGCUCAUCAAGUGACGGUAACUACCCAGAAAGGGACGGCUAACUACGUG